rnacentral:misc_RNA from 1 species
GCUGGAUACCCUGGCUUCCCUACUGCCCUUCGAGCAGAACAUACUCAGCAAGCUGGACAGACUGUCUAUACUGCGGCUGUCCGUCAGCUAUCUGCGGACCAAGAGCUACUUUCAAGUGGUCAUGCACAAAGAAAAAGAAGACAUCCACGGUCACCGGAGAGAACACUCACCUUAUGACCACGCCAUGCCUGAUGGGGAAAUGUUCUUACAGGCACUCAACGGUUUCCUGAUGAUCCUGACGUGUGAAGGCGAGGUGUUCUUCGCUACACACAGCAUCGAAAGUUACUUAGGCUUCCAUCAGUCGGACAUAGUCCACCAGUCAGUUUACGAGCUCGUCCACUCAGAAGACCGGGAGGAGUUGCAGCGUCAGAUCCUGUGGAACUCCUUCUUACCUCCAGAAGUCAGCAACCUGACGCUGCAAGAUGUUCUGCGGCCAGACAGGGCCCAUCUCUUAGAAAGGAGCUUCACUGUCAGAUUUAGAUGUUUACUUGACAAUACUUCUGGGUUCUUGAGGCUUGACAUCCGAGGUCGCAUUAAAGUGCUACACGGGCAGAACAAGAAAACAGAAGAACCUCCAUUAGCACUCUUUGCAAUAUGUGCGCCCUUCGGACCUCCCAGCCUUCUGGAAAUCCCUCAGAAGGAAGUCAUGUUCAAGAGCAAACACAAGCUCGACCUGUCUCUAGUCUCUAUGGAUCAACGGGGUAAAAUGUUGCUAGGUUACACAGAUGCUGAGCUGGCGAAUAUGGGUGGCUAUGAUCUAGUACAUUAUGAUGAUCUGGCUUACGUCGCUAGCGCUCAUCAAGAAUUAUUAAAAACAGGUGCUUCCGGAAUGAUCGCUUAUCGCUUCCAAACAAAGGAUGGUCAGUGGCAGUGGCUGCAGACCUCUUCCAGACUAGUCUACAAGAAUUCUAAACCUGACUUCGUUAUCAGUACGCAUCGACCGCUCAUGGAAGAAGAAGGUAGAGACCUACUGGGUAAAAGAACAAUGGACUUCAAAGUGAGCUACCUCGACACUGGUCUCACAAGCCUCUACUUCUCGGAAACUGAACAGCUAUCCGGCUGCGAAACGAAUGUCACAACUCCUCCACGAACCGCCAGAAGAUACAAAACACAACUCCGAGACUUCCUAUCAACUUGUAGGAAUAAACGAAGAGUUCCCACAACUCCUGCGCCACCUCCCGUGGACUAUUUAGCAGCAGACGCAGUUGCGGCAGCAUACACCAAUUUAAAUGGCGCCUACACUGCCCCUUACGGAGAGUAUCCUCCAGCCCCAACCUUACACUACGCCCCGCCACCUCUAGACGACAGAUUCUUAACAGCAGACAACCUCUUCCACCAAUAUAAACCUCUAUCUUAUCAUUACACUCCUUACGCGCCGAAUGGCUUCCUCGAACCGGCCCCUCCGCCUGGAUACGAAGUGGCUCCUACAUACCAUCGGCCGCCUUCGAGAGAGUAUACGUACGUGGACAGUAGUGGGAGGUACAUGAGUCCUGUGACGGGACAGGAGAGGAGGUCACCGUCCGUAGUGCCCGGGCCGAGUCCUGCUGGGUCGAGUAACUCGGAGCAGGAACGGAUGCAGCAGCCGCAAGCCUCGGAGAUGCCUCGGCAGACGGUGCUCAUGUGGGGUGCCGGCGGGGCGGCGCAAGAGGUCCCCGUCGAAUACUCCCCUCCCCAGGUUUGGCGUUACCAUCCUUCACAUUAUCAUACCGCUGAAGCCACUCAAUGAAUUUUCUUUGACCUCCAAACUUGACUUAAACUUUGGAACAGAUUUUUCGGUCUGCAUCGAAGAAAUCUUGACAAAAUUAUUAUAAUAGAUGAACGUAAAUACUUAGAAAAAUAUUGCAAUCUUUGUUACCAAGGCUUGAUUUUCUUGUACCUCGCUCAGUGGUGAGACCGAAUCGGUCUUUAGGUCUUUUAGACUUAAACAGGGUCCUUCCAGUAUCUCCUUGUAGAUACUUCUUGAUGUAUAUUUAAUUCGAGAAUUUUAUCCAAAUAUAUUAAAGUAUAGUCGUUUAGUAGUUUAAAUUGUACGGAUCACGACGCAAUGUUACAGCAUAGGUCUAGGUUAUUUUUGUAAAUAUUUUUUUAACAUUUGAUUUGAAUGAAGAAUCCUUUGGAUAUUUGCGCAAACGCUGAGGGUAUAAUUAGGCAAUUGUUUUCCAAAAUCUCUGUUAAAUUAUUAUAUUUAUGUGGUAUAUUCUGGUGAUCGUUUUAAAUUCAAUGCCUUGUUUAUAUGAGUUAAUAAUCACAUAAACAAUCUCUAUAAUAACAUCCAAACCUUGGGUCAUGUUUAUUAUGUUUUCUCAAAUCUUCAUGAUGCAAUACCAGAUCUUUUUCUCUAAGGAUUCCAUUUUUUUGAGAAUUAGUACAUUCAAAUCUUUAUUUACAAUUAUGUUUGUUAUUAUAAUUUGUGUUACUAUCGUUGCAGGCACUUCACAGUACUUUAAGUUACGCGGCAAGCCUCGUAUAAACAAGUGACCGACGUUGGUACGGCAUCGGUGACCUUGCGUUCAAAUGACUCUUCCGCCGUCGACUUAGUAUUAAGAUAGCUUAAAUUUUGAUGGAGUAUUGUGAUUGACACUGGAUUUUAGAUUUUUGAUGAAAUUAUUUAUUUAUUUAUUUAUUUAGUGUACUAAGGAGAACUUACAGCUAAACAAAAACUAAACAGUAAAAGGAAGUCAUAGUCGACAGAGAGCCAAUUAAAAGUCCUCGCUUAUAAUAACAGCCUAGCAAUAACGUGAUCACACAUCAGUGCAACGUUUUUAGAGACAAUAAUAUAAAAAAAACAAUAGCAUUUUUAAACACAAAGAGAAAAAAGAAUGAGUAGGUAGAUCUAAAUUUCAAAAUAAUAAAUUAAAUCUGGGAUACUAAACUACUUGAAGAACUUAAGGCACAACAACCUUCUGGCUGCCGCCACACUUAUUGAGAAAGGAUCCAAAUCAUGCUGCUUGCAAAUCAUAUUGAAGUGCCUGCUCGCACGCACAACAUAACUGUUUUGCCUAUAAUUCGUGUAUGAGUUGGGUACAUAUAGGGGAGGAUUAAAACGUAAUACUCUACUCGGCACGUUGAAUUUCAAUUUAGAUAACAACUCCGGGCUGUCAAUAUCAUUAUGCAAUAUCUUUAACAAAAACAGACAAUCGGCAAUAUCACGCCGGUCUUUGAGUGGUAAUAGAUGGUGUUUCUUACAGAGUUGGAGAUAAUCGACUGAAUGAUAUGUAAGGUUUUGACGAAAGCAGAGAAAUUUUAUGAAUCGUCUUUGUAUGUUUUCAAUGCGGUCGAUGUACUUAUUGUAACGCGGGUUCCAUAUCUGAGAAGCAUACUCCAGGUGACUCCUAACAUAGGUGCAGUAUAAAAUUUUUAGUGUUUUGACAUUUCUAAAGCACUUAGAAACGCGCAUUAUAAAUCCAAGCAUUUUAUAUGCUUUCCUUACAACGGCGUCAAUAUGAGCUUCAAAAAUGAGCUUAUUAUCAUGGUAAACGCCCAGGUCUCGGAUAGAAUCACACCUUGGCACCUUGGUUACAAGGGGCUUAAAGCUAGGUACAUAUUAUGGACCAUAUCUACAAAGAGGCAUAAUGUUUUAACAGUUUUUUUAAUCGAUUUUUUUUUCGUGCCUUUUUAUCAGAGCAAAUAAUAAAACACGUUAUUUCUACAGAAAUAUUACUAUGACUUUAAACGCCUUUCCAAAUACCUAAUCGAAUUUUAUCGAAUUAUUGCAAAAUAUAAAAAAUAUAGCUAUGUCCCAGGCCUUUUUUGAGCAGCAAAAAAAUCUUAAAAUCAGUGUCAUUCGCAAUGGAACCAGAAUCAAAAAAAUAUUUCGUCUUCUUAUUGUAAAAUAAAAAUAGUUUUGUCGAUACGGGUCGUACGACUAUAGGAUUUUGUAUUGUAUUGAGUCUAAUCGAUUUUAAUCUUCCAAUGUGUGACUUUCGAUUCCAAUACGGAAUAAUAUAAAAAUGUAAAUUCACAUUUUGAAAUCAUUAGUUUAAAAAAAAUACAUAUCAAAAUUGGACCACUUACUUAUGGAUUUUUCUUUAAAAUUGACAGUUAUAAAUUGCCAAUAAUUAAAUUGAAUAGGUAGUUGAAAAAUUGUUAAUUAUUCGCAAAUGAACACAAAAAUACUUGCUAUUGAAUUAAAGUUUUGAAGGACUUAUGUGAACUGUUUCUUGUUACAAACAGUUGUACGUAAGUCUGUCACUUAUUGCUCACUGUUUUAAUACUUACAUAAAAAUUAUGCAAAAAAAAGAAAGAAUUCGCAAUUUGAGUUUUUGCAAUAUUGCCACAGAAAAUUAUGUCAAAAAUAUUGGUUUUGUAGCAAAAUCUCUUAGAAUUUAAAUUUUGCAAAGCUUUGAAAUAACACUUAUUAGUUUUUAAAAGUCCAAUGAUGGAAUUGUCAAAAUAAACAGACAUUAAUACUUAAACAAAACGUGUGUUCAAGCAACAUAUUUUCCAUUAAUUAAAAAUCACCAUAAUUUUACUCUAAUUUAUUAAUUAAAUUGUAAAUAAAUCACUAGGUUUAGAAGCGUAACCGUGUAUUAUUGAAUUUAAUUAUAAUUGUUCAUAAUUAUUUAAAUGAACAUAAUUAUAAAUAAGAUAAAGUUAUCCG